ACGCUCGACACCUACGGAAGGCAGCAGUGGGGAAUAUUGCACAAUGGGGGAAACCCUGAUGCAGCAACGCCGCGUGAAGGAAGACGGUUUUCGGAUUGUAAACUUCUGUUCUUAGUGAAGAUAGUGACGGUAGCUAAGGAGCAAGCCACGGCUAACUACGUGCUAGCAGCCGCGGUAAUCUGAGCGGGCUGGCAAGGC
rnacentral:rRNA from 1 species